rnacentral:lncRNA from 1 species
GUUUUACUCACCAAUCCUGCCUUCAUUCCCUCUCUCAUUUCCAUUUUUCAGUGCUUCAUCUUACUACGCAAUGCUUAGUGCUCUAGCCCCCAGAAACAAGUUGUUUCCAGGGGAAUAAAACAAAAAGAAAAAUGAAGAAACAAACAAAACCAAACCAAAAAAUCCACAUCUAUUUUUCUAUCUCUCAUGUGUGUAUUAAAAGAAUGUUUUUCACUUUCAUGGUUUCAGGGAAAACGUGAUAACAUGGUCCCAGUGCGUGUUCCCCAUAAGCUCAAAAUCCAGAAGUUUGAAGAUCCUGAUUUCUAAUCUUGGGUUGUGACUUCAGCAGGUAUGACUUACUAUUUUUCAAUUACAUUUGUUUUUCUAACAUUGCUUAACAGAUUUUUUUGGAGCAUGUGAAUACAUUCUUCCAGUGACUCCUGUUUCCUCAUAGAAAACAUUUCCUCAUUUCCUUUGUAGAAAAUUACAGUUUGUUAUCUAGCUGCUUAUGAAGAGAUGCCCGUUCCUUUUCUUACACUUGCACAUCCAGACACCUGACAUCUUCUUCCUGGUAAAGGGCUAGACAGAGACCUUCUGAGAAGCACUGAAAGAAACUUUCAUUACCACACCAGUGUUUUCACAAGUCUCCUGUGCAGUCUGGAGCCAAGUUGUCCAUACCAUCUUGAAUUUUGUUACAGGGUCUCAACCUGGCACACUGACUGAUUUUCACUUAAACUGAUGAAGCAGUCAGGUUGGAACUCAAAUUGAGAUUGAUACCUCUCGUUCAGGGGCUUAUACAUAGCUGAUGAGAACCCACCAGUAUAACUUAUGGUAUCUUAUAUGCAUUCCCAGUGCUGCCACAAGGAUAUAGCUAUCGACCCCGUGUUGCAUCUGCCACAACAGUGGGACUCUUGUAUCCGUGAUGUGUUUCAAUGGCAUUGCAUGGCCAUGUGUAUCAUGGCUGAACGUAUCUCCAGAAGCAAAUGCCAAUGCCUGGAACGUUUCCAAAUCAUAUAGCUCUAUCAAAGGAGAAAGAAACAUGGAGGUGCUUGGAAGGUGGAGAUUCCUUGAAUGAAUGCAAGUGGACUGCACAGAAUUAACAGAACUAUAAUGACACACAGAAUUCUGCAUGCCUGAAGACAGAUUUUGUCUUUGGCUUCAUGGGAGGAUUAUUUCUGCUUUGCUUAUGGGCUUGAGAUAUGAAUACACAAAUGGAAAUGCCCUGAGACAGAAAACUUGAAUGUAAACCUGAAAGUUAGAGCAUUGGGGCAUUUGUGCAACAACAAACAGCUUUCUCAGAAAUAAUUUGGUUUGUGCAGGGAAGAAAUUACUCUGUUUUGGAACUAGAGAGAUAAGGGAUUAAAGGGUUAGAUGGUCAAAAAUCUGUUGGCAUGUAGGGACAUGUACAAUUUUUCCAAUCUAGAAUUUUUCUAAUUUUUGCAAUCUAGGGACAUGUAGAAUUUUUCCAGAACAAUCUGUUUGUAACUCCAUUGCCUUAGAAAUAAGGAAACUUACUUGGAUAACAUCUACAAGCUAGUAAAAUCCAAUUCUUCAAAUUUAACUGUAGAACUCCCAUUGGAGUCCAUGAUACCAAUAUUUUAACUUAAGGAUAUCCCAGAACAAAAGUAAC